rnacentral:lncRNA from 1 species
GUGAGAAACGACAAUGACACUUUCUUGGCAAUCUUCGGGAUCAAUCUUAGAGUUCAAGAUUUCAGAUUUGGUGGUGAUUUUACUGAGGAAAAAUGAGAGGAGUAUAGUGGAGAAUAUGUUAACAAAUAUUGAGGCAAAAAGAAAAAGAAAGAGAUAGUAAAACUCAGCGUAGGCGACGACAACAAUGGAGAAAGGAAAAGAAA